UGAAUCCGCGCGGGAGAGUUCCCAGUCUUCGCAGUCUUCGCUGGGGCGCCGAAGGAGCAAGUCCCUCCCUUGAAUCUCUCAGGCACCGUUACCGCGCGGGCGAG
rnacentral:ncRNA from 2 species